rnacentral:rRNA from 1 species
UAUGUAGGUGGCAAGCGUUAUCCGGAUUUAUUGGGUGUAAAGGGCGUGUAGGCGGGAAAGCAAGUCAGAUGUGAAAACUCAGGGCUCAACCCUGAGCCUGCAUUUGAAACUGUUUUUCUUGAGUGCUGGAGAGGCAAUCGGAAUUCCGUGUGUAGCGGUGAAAUGCGUAGAUAUACGGAGGAACACCAGUGGCGAAGGCGGAUUGCUGGACAGUAACUGACGCUGAGGCGCGAAAGCGUGGGGAGCAAACAGG